CGGUUGAUCCUGCCGGAGGCCAUUGCUAUCGGAGUCCGAUUUAGCCAUGCUAGUUGCACGGGUUUAGACCCGUGGCGACAAGCUCAGUAACACGUGGCCAAGCUACCCUUCAGUCGGCAAUACCCUCGGGAAACUGAGGCUAAUAGCCGAUACGAAACAGACGCUGGAAUGCACUGUAUUCCAAAGACAUCGCUGAAGGAUGCGGCUGCGGCCGAUUAGGUAGACGGUGGGGUAACGGCCCACCGUGCCAGUAAUCGGUACGGGUGAUGAGAGUCAGAGCCCGGAGACGGAAUCUGAGACAAGAUUCCGGGCCCUACGGGGCGCAGCAGGCGCGAAACCUUUACACUGCGCGAAAGUGCGAUAGGGGAAUCCCAAGUGCGAGGGCAUAUUAGCCCUCGCUUUUGUUGACUCUAAGGCGGUCAACGAAUAAGAGCUGGGCAAGACCGGUGCCAGCCGCCGCGGUAAUACCGGCAGCUCAAGUGAUGUCCCAUAUUAUUGGGCCUAAGGCGUCCGUAGCUGGCCGACCAAGUCUAUCGGGAAAUCCACCUGUCCAACAGGUGGGCGUCCGGUAGAAACUGGCCGGCUUGGAACCGGAAGGCUCAGAGAGUACGUCCGGGGUAGGAGUGAAAUCCCGUAAUCCCGGACGGACUACCGAUGGCGAAAGCACUCUGAGAAGACGGCUUCGACAGUGAGGGACGAAAGCUCGGGUCUCAAACCGGAUUAGAUACCCGGGUAGUC
rnacentral:rRNA from 1 species